rnacentral:rRNA from 1 species
UGGGGAAUAUUGGACAAUGGGCGAAAGCCUGAUCCAGCAAUGCCGCGUGAGUGAUGAAGGCCUUAGGGUUGUAAAGCUCUUUUACCCGGGAUGAUAAUGACAGUACCGGGAGAAUAAGCCCCGGCUAACUCCGUGCCAGCAGCCGCGGUAAUACGGAGGGGGCGAGCGUUAUUCGGAAUUAUUGGGCGUAAAGGGCGCGUAGGCGGCUUGGCAAGUCAAAGGUGAAAUCCCUCGGCUCAACUGAGGAACUGCCUUUGAAACUGCCUGGCUUGAGGCCGGGAGGGGGUAGCGGAAUUCCCAGUGUAGCGGUGAAAUGCGUAGAUAUUGGGAGGAACACCAGUGGCGAAGGCGGCUACCUGGACCGGUUCUGACGCUGAUGCGCGAAAGCGUGGGUAGCAAA